GUGAUUUACCUAAGAGGGGAUAAAAAGAUGAAAAGUAGAGUUUUCGUGUGAAUUUCGUUGAUCCGGGGCGAAGCCGAGUUCAAUAUACACACGAAAAUAAGACUUUUCAUUUUUUAUCCCGAGUUAUGUAAUGUAUUUUACAUGCUAAGGGCGUCGAAAGUAGUGCUUGAAACAUGAAAAGUACGGUUUUCGACGCAUGUAGCG